rnacentral:rRNA from 1 species
GACGAACGCUGGCGGCGUGCUUAACACAUGCAAGUCGAACGGAAAGGCCUCUUUCGGGGGGUACUCGAGUGGCGAACGGGUGAGUAACACGUGAGUAACCUGCCCUUGACUUUGGGAUAACUUCAGGAAACUGGGGCUAAUACCGGAUAGGAGCUCCUGCUGCAUGGUGGGGGUUGGAAAGUUUCGGCGGUUGGGGAUGGACUCGCGGCUUAUCAGCUUGUUGGUGGGGUAUUGGCUUACCAAGGCUUUGCCGGGUAGCCGGCCUGAGAGGGUGAGCGGCCACAUUGGGACUGAGAUACGGCCCAGACUCCUACGGGAGGCAGCAGUGGGGAAUAUUGCACAAUGGGUGGAAGCCUGAUGCAGCAACGCCGUGUGCGGGAUGACGGCCUUCGGGUUGUAAACCGCUUUCGCUCAUGACGAAGCUUUGUGUGACGGUAGUGGGUAAAGAAGCACCGGCUAACUACGUG